rnacentral:rRNA from 1 species
UACGUAGGGUGCGAGCGUUGUCCGGAAUUAUUGGGCGUAAAGGGCUCGUAGGCGGCCUGUCGCGUCGGUUGUGAAAGCCCGGGGCUCAACCCCGGGUCUGCAGUCGAUACGGGCAGGCUAGAGUUCGGUAGGGGAGAUCGGAAUUCCUGGUGUAGCGGUGAAAUGCGCAGAUAUCAGGAGGAACACCGGUGGCGAAGGCGGAUCUCUGGGCCGAUACUGACGCUGAGGAGCGAAAGCGUGGGGAGCGAACAGG